UACAGAGGUCUCAAGCGUUGUUCGGAUUCAUUGGGCGUAAAGGGUGCGUAGGUGGCGCCGUAAGUCGGGUGUGAAAUUUCGGAGCUUACUCCGAAACUGCAUUCGAUACUGCUGGUGCUUGAGGACUGGAGAGAGACUGGAAUUCAUGGUGUAGCAGUGAAAUGCGUAGAGAUCAUGAGGAGACCAGUGGCGAAGCGGUCUCUGGACAGUUCCUGACACUGGAGGCA
rnacentral:rRNA from 1 species